GAUGAACGCUGGCGGCGUGCCUAAUACAUGCAAGUCGAGCGAACAGAUGAGGAGCUUGCUCCUCUGACGUUAGCGGCGGACGGGUGAGUAACACGUGGAUAACCUACCUAUAAGACUGGGAUAACUUCGGGAAACCGGAGCUAAUACCGGAUAAUAUAUUGAACCGCAUGGUUCAAUAGUGAAAGACGGUUUUGCUGUCACUUAUAGAUGGAUCCGCGCCGCAUUAGCUAGUUGGUAAGGUAACGGCUUACCAAGGCAACGAUGCGUAGCCGACCUGAGAGGGUGAUCAGCCACACUGGAACUGGGACACGGUCCAGACUCCUACGGGAGGCAGCAGUAGGGAAUCUUCCGCAAUGGGCGAAAGCCUGACGGAGCAACGCCGCGUGAGGGAUGAAGGUCUUCGGAUCGUAAAACUCUGUUAUUAGGGAAGAACAAAUGUGUAAGUAACUAUGCACGUCUUGACGGUACCUAAUCAGAAAGCCACGGCUAACUACGUG
rnacentral:rRNA from 1 species